AGACACAGUUCUUCCGGUCUGCUCCCAUUGAGGUGUCGGAGGAAUUGAAAGGCAACGCCCUGGCGCUCCUUCAAUCUGUCUCCAGGAGAGUGCCACUGAGAGACACCAAGGAGGUGUCAGUAGAGAGGUGGUGGAGGUCAGUUAUUUUUGUCCACAAAGAUUGGUUGUUCAGUCCAGGGUUAUGCUAACAUUGUGGUCUUGCAUACAGAUAUGAAUUCUAGAUAACCUACUCUAAACACUAAUAAGUUUACCUUGUCCAGCUCUCUGCCCCACAGAAAGUGACAGUGGGAAAAGGAAGUUCCUUUGAGGACGGCCACUUUGAGAGAGGGCACAACCAGCAUAGCUGUUAGCCUAUGGAGGGAGGCUGCAGUCAUCCCUCUGAAAGUGGGAGAGGUGAUCACCUUGACCCAUUUAUAAGGACACACAUCCAGUUAUGGCUAGAAGCUGCAGUCAUCUGAUUACACUGCAGUAGAGGACUCAAACGCCAUCACUGCGUGUAGGAGCUCUUGGGGUGAUGGAGAGUCCAAGUAAGCCUGGGAUCCUGAAGCUCCUGACCAUG